CAUUGUUACUUCCUAUAACUCCCAGCAUUUCAAUUUCCUUUUACUCUGAUUUUUGGAUUUGUAAACUCAAUAACUUUACUUGCAUGAUUAUAAUCAUAAACAUUUUUUUCUAUUCUUUCGAGGCUGGAUCGAGUAGAGCUGAUUCUCGUAGUCGUCAUGGUUACCAAGAAAAUCUUUGUCGUCUGGAUCAUUGCAAUGAGUUGCUUUAGUUUGCUUAGAUUUGCUGGGUCUAAGGUGGCCAAAGAAGAAGUUGAUGCUUUGCAAGAGAUUGCUACUGCAAUGGGCUCCAUAUACUGAAAAUUUAAUGGUGAUUCCUGUGAAAUUGAAAGGGUUGGGGUAACGCUCGUGCCACCAAAGAAUUCCAAGCAUGAGAUCUCUUGUGAAUGUGAGGCUGAUGGCACUGUUUGUCACGUCGUAAGGAUAGUGCUGAAGGGCUAUAACCUUCUUGGAAUACUUCCUCCUCAACUGGUUAAGCUUCCUUACCCUCGAGAAAU